rnacentral:lncRNA from 1 species
GGCGUCGAUCCCUGACCCGAUAUGUGUCGCGAUGGUGGUACAGAGGCGGCAUCAUGUGACUGUAGAGGUGCUAACUCAGAAGCAUCAAUACCGAGCCAUCCCGCCAUCGCAGCUACUAUCCUCUCGAGCGUCUGACUACGAUUCAUCCAGUAACUAAUCUGAUCUUGUAUCAUGCUCAUGGAUAUCCUAACUACCUCUGGCACCGAUGCAUCA